CUGAGGAGUUAGGAGUCAGACAACCCAGUUCAUAUGGGAGAGACCAUAGAGACACAGCAUCCUGUUGGUGCUCGUUUAAAAGAUGCAUCAGAGACAUCUGAACCACAUGCAAAAGGUGCAUUAUGAUCAGUCUUUGUGCUCUGAACCUUACCACUGUUAACAGACCCUAGAAUGCCAAUGCUGCCGAUAGACCUGCUGAUAGGCCUGAGGCCUCUAUGGCCUCUCAGAGUCCUGUGCUUUCUUGAACCUGUCAGAUCAAUUCCGACUUCUUCGCUGCAUUUCCAAUGCUGUUAUAAUUUGAAUCUGAACUGUUUCCCACAGGGUCAUGUUUUGAAAGCUUCGUCUCCAGGUAGCUGUGCAGUUUCAGGAAGCUGCCAAGCCUUUCAGAAGUGGGACCCUGCUGGCUACAGGCAUGCCUUUGAAGGUGUACAAUAUAAAUGUGGAAAUGUUUCCUACACAAAUUCCCAACAAGAAACUUGCUUGGCAUUCUAUAACCAAUAAAAUAUCAAA